UUUCACCUGCAGUUGAAGAUCCAUGAGGUGCCCAGAAGAUCAUGCAGUCAUCAGUCCCAUGGAGCAGCCCACAAGGCUGAGGCUCCUCCCACUGGACCACCCCCCAACUGGCACCACUGCUGCCCCUGCCCCUACUCUCAGCCUCAUGUGACUCUCAGGCAGAGGCAGUGGUGGGGCAGCCAGGGCAGCGUCAAGAGUCUGAGCCAGCUGCAGGACAAGUUCGAGCAUCUUAAAAUGAUUCAGCAGGAGGAGAUAAGGAAGCUCGAGGAAGAGAAAAAACAACUGGAAGGAGAAAUCAUAGAUUUUUAUAAAAUGAAAGCUGCCUCUGAAGCACUGCAGACUCAGCUGAGCACUGAUACAAAGAAAGACAAACAUCCUGAUCCAUAUGAAUUCCUCUUAUUAAGAAAAAUAAAGCAUCCAGGAUUCAAUGAAGAACUGACUAUCACCUUGUUAA
rnacentral:lncRNA from 1 species